rnacentral:siRNA from 1 species
CCACAAUAUUUGAAAUUGUAGU